CCUACGGGAGGCAGCAGUGAGGAAUAUUGGUCAAUGGGCGCGAGCCUGAACCAGCCAAGUCGCGUGAGGGAAGACGGUCCUAUGGAUUGUAAACCUCUUUUGUCGGGGAGCAAAAGACGCCACGCGUGGCGUUCCGAGAGUACCCGAAGAAAAAGCAUCGGCUAACUCCGUGCCAGCAGCCGCGGUAAUACGGAGGAUGCGAGCGUUAUCCGGAUUUAUUGGGUUUAAAGGGUGCGCAGGCGGAAGAUCAAGUCAGCGGUAAAAUUGAGGGGCUCAACCUCGUCGCGCCGUUGAAACUGGUUUUCUGGAGUGGGUGAGAAGUAUGCGGAAUGCGUGGUGUAGCGGUGAAAUGCAUAGAUAUCGCGCAGAACUCCGAUUGCGAAGGCAGCAUACCGGCGCUAAACUGACGCUCAUGCACGAAAGUGUGGGUAUCGAACAGGAUUAGAUACCCCUGUAGUC
rnacentral:rRNA from 1 species